UUAGAGUUUGAUCCUGGCUCAGAUUGAACGCUGGCGGCAUGCUUUACACAUGCAAGUCGAGCGGCAGCGCGGGGGCAACCCUGGCGGCGAGCGGCGAACGGGUGAGUAAUACAUCGGAACGUAUCCCGUAGAGGGGGAUAGCCCGGCGAAAGCCGGAUUAAUACCGCAUAUGCUCUACGGAGGAAAGUGGGGGACUCGCAAGGGCCUCACGCUAUGGGAGCGGCCGAUGGCCGAUUAGCUAGUUGGUGGGGUAAAGGCCUACCAAGGCGACGAUCGGUAGCUGGUCUGAGAGGAUGAUCAGCCACACUGGGACUGAGACACGGCCCAGACUCCUACGGGAGGCAGCAGUGGGGAAUUUUGGACAAUGGGGGCAACCCUGAUCCAGCCAUGCCGCGUGAGUGAAGAAGGCCUUCGGGUUGUAAAGCUCUUUUGGUCGGGAAGAAAGGGUUUCCUUGAAUACGGGGGAUCUUUGACGGUACCGGCAG
rnacentral:rRNA from 1 species